GACGAACGCUGGCGGCGUGCUUAACACAUGCAAGUCGAACGGAAAGGCCCUGCUUUUGUCGUGUGCUCGAGUGGCGAACGGGUGAGUAACACGCGAGUAACCUGCCCUUGACUUUGGGAUAACUUCAGGUAACUGGGGCUACUACUGGAUAGGAGCUCCUGCUGCAUGGUGGGGGUUGGAAUGUUUCGGCGGUCGGGGCUGGACUCUCGGCUUAUCAGCUUGUUGGUGGGGUAGUGGCUUACCAAGGCAGUGACGGGUAGCCGGCCUGAGAGGGUGACCGGCGACAUUGGGACUGAGAGACGGACCAGACGCGUACGGUGGGCAGCAGUGGGAAAUAUUGCACAAUGGGCGGAAGCCUGAUGCAGCAGCGUCGCGUGCGGAAUGACGGCCUUCGGGGUGUAAACCGCUUUCGCCUGUGACGAAGCGUGAGUGACGGUAAUGGGUAAAGAAGCACCGGCUAACUACGUG
rnacentral:rRNA from 1 species